GUCCACGCCCUAAACGAUGACAACUAGGUGUUGGGGAAGCGAUUUCUCAGUACCGCAGCUAACGCGUGAAGUUGUCCGCCUGGGGAGUACGGUCGCAAGAUUAAAACUCAAAGGAAUUGACGGGGACCCGCACAAGCGGUGGAUGAUGUGGAUUAAUUCGAUGCAACGCGAAUAACCUUACCUACCCUUGACAUGUACGGAAGCCCAGCGAGAGCUGGGUGUGCCCGAAAGGGAGCCGUAACACAGGUGCUGCAUGGCUGUCGU
rnacentral:rRNA from 1 species